AACACCGGCAACGCUGGGCCAAUUGUGCACUGCCCCAUGGGUUUCCCAGUCGCGGCCGGCUGCAACAGAGCCUGGACUCGAACCAGGAUCUCUAGUGGUCCAGCUAGCACUGCAAUGCAGUGCCUUAGAUGACUGCGCCACUUGGGAAGCCCGGGCGUGACGUUUUGAUAACCGUGUAAAUCUCUCUGACAAGGUGACUUUUAUCAAUAGUCUCCUGUAUUUACCCCCCAAAAAUGAAAUACUAAAGUAGUUGCUAAUAUGGCUAUCAUACAGAACUACACCUCAUGUUGCAAGCUUUGAUGUCAUCACUCAUGGCAGUGUUGCAUGGUGCGAAAACCUCCUUUAUUACUAUAAUUUGUUUAAUUACCCUGGCCUUUGUAACUAGCUAACUUUAGGCAUAUCUGUCGAUCAGAAGCAAGGAUGGUUCUGUGCUAUAAACCGGAUUGUAACCACUACUCUGAUAAGCGCAAAUUUGUAUUUUAGCAUUUUCCAACCUCUGUAAGCGAGCGGCGUCGCUGGAGCCAUGUGGUAAGAUGACGUCUUGCAACUUGUGAGGUCUGGUCGCCCGACAUCCUGCCC
rnacentral:lncRNA from 1 species